GAACUCGUAACUUAUUUCGCUAGAGCGUUGGCUGAACUAAAGCCUUCCCUCUUGCUGGCGUGGGUUCGAAUCCCACCGAGGUCG
rnacentral:tRNA from 1 species